AUCAACGCUGGCGGUAGUCCUAAAACAUGCAAGUCGAAACGCAGCACAGGAGAGCUUGCCCUCUGGGUGGCGAGUGGCGGACGGGUGAGGAAUACAUCGGAAUCUACUUUUUCGUGGGGGAUAACGUAGGGAAACUUACGCUAAUACCGCAUACGACCUACGGGUGAAAGCAGGGGACCUUUGGGCCUUGCGCGAUUGAAUGAGCCGAUGUGGGAUUAGCUAGUUGGCGGGGUAAAGGCCCACCAAGGCGAAGAUCCGUAGCUGGUCUGAGAGGAUGGUCGGCCACACGGGAACUGGGACACGGUCCAGACUCCUACGGGAGGCAGCAGUGGGGAAUAUUGGGCAAUGGGCGCAAGCCUGAUCCAGCCAUACCGCGUGGGUUAAGAAGGCGUUCGGGUUGUAAAGCCCUUUUGUUGGGAAAGAACUCCAGCCGGUUAAUACCUGGUUGGGAUGACGGUACCCAAAGAAUAAGCACCGGCUAACUUCGUGCCAGCAGCCGCCGUAA
rnacentral:rRNA from 1 species